rnacentral:rRNA from 1 species
UUUGAGAUUCUUCGGAUGAUCGAUUGGUGACUGAGUGGCGGACGGGUGAGUAACGCGUGGGUAACCUGCCCUGUACAGGGGGAUAACAGCUGGAAACGGCUGCUAAUACCGCAUAAGCGCACGAGGAGACAUCUCCUUGUGUGAAAAACUCCGGUGGUACAGGAUGGGCCCGCGUCUGAUUAGCUGGUUGGCAGGGUAACGGCCUACCAAGGCAACGAUCAGUAGCCGGUCUGAGAGGAUGAACGGCCACAUUGGAACUGAGACACGGUCCAAACUCCUACGGGAGGCAGCAGUGGGGAAUAUUGCACAAUGGGGGAAACCCUGAUGCAGCAACGCCGCGUGAGUGAAGAAGUAUUUCGGUAUGUAAAGCUCUAUCAGCAGGGAAGAUAAUGACGGUACCUGACUAAGAAGCUCCGGCUAAAUACGUGCCAGCAGCCGCGGUAAUACGUAUGGAGCAAGCGUUAUCCGGAUUUACUGGGUGUAAAGGGUGCGUAGGUGGCAGUGCAAGUCAGAUGUGAAAGGCCGGGGCUCAACCCCGGAGCUGCAUUUGAAACUGCUCGGCUAGAGUACAGGAGAGGCAGGCGGAAUUCCUAGUGUAGCGGUGAAAUGCGUAGAUAUUAGGAGGAACACCAGUGGCGAAGGCGGCCUGCUGGACUGUUACG